UUUGUCGUUUGUCUGUUCCGCGGCUUUUCGUCUGUGUAGUCAAAAAGUAUUUACUGAGUGCCACCGUGAUCUCGACAGAUAGCCACGGCCCCUGCCGUUAUGGAGGUUACCGAGUGGCGGAGGAGGCCGACAUCAGUCAACAAGCCGUGCAGAAGCCUGAGUUUGUGUAGGUGUUUUGGCUGUCAGUUCAAGCUGAGGUCUCAGCCGAAAGGCAUCAUCAGCCACCAGAUGCGAGAGUGAACGAACCUGUGGAAGAUUGCAGCCCCCAACUGUCAAGUCACUAACAGCCUUCCAGACUUCCAAAUUGGAGCCCCAGAAAUUGUGGAGCAGAGACAUCCUCACUAGGCUUUUUCUGAAUUCCUGACCUACAGAAUUUGGGGGCAUAAUAAAAAGGUGGUUAUUUCAUA